AACGAACGCUGGCGGCAUGCCUAACACAUGCAAGUCGAACGAUCCCUUCGGGGGUAGUGGCGCACGGGUGCGUAACGCGUGGGAACCUGCCCUUAGGUUCGGAAUAACUCAGAGAAAUUUGAGCUAAUACCGGAUAAUGUCUUCGGACCAAAGAUUUAGCGCCUUUGGAUGGGCCCGCGUUGGAUUAGCUAGUUGGUGGGGUAAAGGCCUACCAAGGCGACGAUCCAUAGCUGGUCUGAGAGGAAGAUCAGCCACACUGGGACUGAGACACGGCCCAGACUCCUACGGGAGGCAGCAGUGGGGAAUAUUGGACAAUGGGCGAAAGCCUGAACCAGCAAUGCCGCGUGAGUGAUGAAGGCCUUAGGGUUGUAAAGUUCUUUUACCCGGGAUGAUAAUGACAGUACCGGGAGAAUAAGCCCCGGCUAACUCCGUG
rnacentral:rRNA from 1 species